rnacentral:rRNA from 1 species
UACGUAGGGUGCAAGCGUUACUCGGAAUUACUGGGCGUAAAGCGCACGUAGGCGGCUUUGUAAGUUAGAGGUGAAAGCCCGGGGCUCAACCCCGGAAUUGCCUUUAAGACUGCAUCGCUAGAAUUGUGGAGAGGUAAGUGGAAUUCCGAGUGUAGAGGUGAAAUUCGUAGAUAUUCGGAAGAACACCAGUGGCGAAGGCGACUUACUGGACACAUAUUGACGCUGAGGUGCGAAAGCGUGGGGAGCAAACAGG